ensembl:lncRNA
UUUUGGUUCACGAGCUGCAGAGUUUCACGCAGAAAGGUGUCAGAUAAAAGUAAAUAUUUAGUUAGUCACGGUAAAUUAAUGUAGCGCAAAUAACUUUUUUAUUGUAUUUAAUCUUUGCAAUGGUGUUAAGUUAUAAACGUUAUCUGCUGCCAGAGAAACCUAGAUUAGUUAGAAAGGUUUUUUAUCAGAAGUCAUCUUGAUAAGUUAGAUAAAGACAAUAUAAUAUCAAACAUCUUUUUACCAUUCAUCCACUAUUUUGGUAUCUGUCCAAAUACCAAGCAAAUACAGGGCCAGUAUUUCAGAUACCAAUAGAAUACCAGUAAUUUUACUCUACAAAGGAAGGUGUAGGGGAGAGCAGUGUGUCAUGAUUCAUAAAUCAUCAUCCAUUUGAAAAUUCUGAAUACAAUCUAAAGACCAGUGCCAUUUUUUUUAUUUCCUUUUAGCUUAUCGUGUAUAUUGAACUUUUUUUUUUUUUUAGAAAGAGAUGGAAUGUAAAUGUGCCUCCUUUGAAUAACUUUAAGUCAACUUAUGAUGUUUAAAUGUGCCACAGGCUAUAAAAUAGACAGAGAAGAGCAGGAAUGAUCAGUGGGACUGAAUCAGUCUGUGGAGAAGGAGCUCUGCUGCCUCUGUGGAGUGGUGCAGCUGAGACUGGUUCUUCAUAAUGACCUCCUGAGUCCUGACUUUCACUGACUGCUUCAGAUUCUGACCAGCCUUGUGCGUUAGCCUGUCCAGCCUUCUGACAUCUGUGUUACACAGAAAAUUUGAGAUGUACGAAGUGAACGACAAAGAAGAUGGGACUAGCUAAUGAGGGUGGGGGCGUGGCCUGCUCGGCUUCACCUCAGCUGAAGUGGACCUCUGCACUGUUUGCACUGAUGAUGUCACAAAGUCCUUCCUUUACCUACAGUCUGUGGUUAAGCUGUGUCCAGAUGACUGCAGAUACAGUAGUAUCUUCUGCAGGCCCUUGUAGUCAUUAACAAGGAGACUUUCCCUACUCGUCCAUGUCAACUACUGUCAUCUUAUUGUCAGCUGCAGCAAUAGUGUCAAUACUGUCACUGCUCUGACCCGCAGCUGAGCUUUCAGGGUGGUGUCUGCUUGAAUUACAGCAUUUCUAUCAGCUGAUGUCAUGGUCAAGGGUGUGUGUGUGUGUGUGUGUGUGUGUGUG